UACGGAGGGAGCUAGCGUUGUUCGGAUAUACUGGGCGUAAAGCGCACGUAGGCGGCGCCGUAAGUCAGGGGUGAAAUCCCGGAGCUCAACUCCGGAACUGCCCUUGAAACUGCAGUGCUAGAAUCCUGGAGAGGCGAGUGGAAUUCCGAGUGUAGAGGUGAAAUUCGUAGAUAUUCGGAAGAACACCCGUGGCGAAGGCGGCUCUCUGGUACGUGACUGACGCUGAGUGCGCGAAAGCCAGGGGAGCAAACGGG
rnacentral:rRNA from 1 species